CCUUUUAUAAAUCCCAUUUAUGAUGGUGUCCUUCUUCUCUUGCAUUUGACUCAAACUUGAAUCAAGACUUCUCAGAAUGUUCUUACACGUCGUGUGCAGGUCAAAGUCCGUUGGUACCAGAAAGGGUAGGAAAGUCAAGGCGUCCCGCAGCUCAAAGUCCAAUUGUCAAGUUUAUGAAUCUAAGAUUUGCCCUGUAGACUCAAAGGUGAUGCAAGUUAACUCCUUCUACAAGAACUAGAAUCCAUGAAAGGUAUUUUAAUUAACAUAAUAUAGAAAAAAACUCACAAAUCUCCUACUUCUUGAUAGACAUCAAGCAAAUGCGGUGAAGCAAUCGAUAUCAAACAUGAAAAAAAUCUUCUGAGGGUAAGUCACUCUUGCAGGUUGGUUUUUGAAACUAAUACAAUGUAGUCUUCAAUGAUCAGGUCAUAUCUCUAGAUGGAGAACCAUUUAUAUUCCCCUACUAAUACCGGGUUUUUAGUUCAUUGAAGGAAUUUGAAGCUCCAAUGGACACAAAUUUUCGAGAUGAACCCUUUAUUGAAUCUCUUAGAAAAGUAAGCAUUCAUCAUCUUCAGAAACUUGCAUAGAAUUUGUUUCUUUGCUUAUAAUUAUUAACAACGUUAAUUACCAUUUCUUACAGCUAUGUCUCACUUCAGAUACUGAUCCAGUCGGGGUACUUAUAGAUUAGUUGCUUCUCUUACUCUCUUGUAUCUCAUCUACAUAGAGAUUUUUCAAGACAUAUAUCGUGCGUGUACAAAUUAGAUGUGCUAAAGCUUAUAUUAACAGGAAAUCCAAGAUUUAUCAAUAGUAAGUGUUAAGUCAAUGAAUGCUUUUACACAGAAAGAUGUGCUAGGGGAAAACAAUGUACCUGUAAAAAUGGACUAAACACCUGUUACCAGAAGCUGAUUAAGAUCAGCUUCUAGCUCGUUCGUCAACUCAACCUGAUUUUCAUUUCUGCAUUGCAGCAACUACCUCCUUAAAUCUCGGACCAGCUCGUUAAGCUUCUGAAUUUUCUUUUCUUGAGAUAGAAUUUUCUGCCAUCCAUAGAUAUGCAGAUUAUCAUUAGAUGAUACUUUGAAGCAUAUAUACUUUUGCAAUCAAAUGGUUUAGUAAAGUUAACUAAGGGUGUGGAAUUUCAGAUAACUAUGCUUGAUAUGCUUUUUCCUUCUGCGAAUGCAUCACUUGGAGGACUCGAGAUUGGGAUAUGCUCAAAGUGAUGGGAUGAAGUUAGAAACUAGCCUCUUUUGCUUUCCUAAGACUAUACUCAACAAUAAACAAAACUGAACACGUUUUCAGAAAAAAAUCAUAUCACAAAGUUGUGACUAGAAAGAUGAAAAAGCAAUUGGAAUUAGAGUGAUAAGAGAUGGACUGUGGUUCAACAUGUAAAGAAACUAAGCAAGUCACUAAAACGGGAUUUGUCACAGAAAAAGGCACUGGACAAGUAAAGUUUCAGUUUAAGAAGCCAAAUCCUUCCUUAGAUCCCAUAUACACAACAAUUCUACACUGUUUGAAUUCCACCCACCAGCGAGAAUCAGAGGACGAAUAGUCUCAGUUUCACUCUCAACUUGUUCAUUCCACUCAAACUGAGAAGUCAACACAAUGAACAUAAGAACAAACAAAAGCACCUGUGAUCUCGUUUUAAAGGUAAAAUGGUCUUUAUUUGAUGGGAGUUUUUAAUCUGCUACAUAACAAAACACCAAACACCACAACUCAAAAUCACAAACUAACAAGUGUAGAUAAGGAUCCAAAUCACAAUAAUCUUUGAACAUUCUAUUUACAAGAAGAAGUGUAGGAAAGGAUUAAACUUUCACAUUCCAAAAACUCAGAAUCAAGCCAACAAGAUUCCUGAAGAUUUCUACUUCCAUGGUUCCAAAUUAUAAAAAAAAUCCACAUCCAGAACUAUAGAUUAGAUAAGAACAAAUACGGAAGAUGUGUUAAGGUGUAUACAGAUUUUAACAUUCACCAGUCUGAAAUCUGAAAUCUGAAAUCUGAAAUCUGAAAGCAUGAAUCUACUUGUGGAUCUCUUCGUGUUUUUGCUUCAAAAUG
rnacentral:lncRNA from 1 species